AGAAAAUGGUUGCUGAAUGCAGAAAGGCGAAUAAACAACGCAGAACGCAGUUCUCUGUGUCCGCCUGAGUGAUUUGCGUCAUCAGGAAGAGAAGCGUUACAAAAGCACGCUGAUGAAUCUCAGUGGCCUGUACCGAUGACAGGGCAAGAGGAAAGUGUACUGAAGGAAUACACCACAAAAUUAGGAAAACAGGUACAGAGGAAGAAUCGGGGUAGGUUUUCACUAGAGCUUGCCAUUUUUGUUAUGUCUAGAGAAGUUUGUUUCCAUGUUUUUGCUGGUUCACCUCCUGCUUUGUUUGCAGAUGCUGCUGUAGCUGCUUCAGGUUUGGUAUAUGCAACAAAUAAAAAUUUUGCUCUCUCAGUUAACGUCUCUGCGACAAAACCAUUGUUCCCUGACGGAUGAGUGGAGGGGAUUCCAGACAGGAAACCAGUCACUGAGUUGUAUAAAAACAUGUCAGUGAAAUUG
rnacentral:lncRNA from 1 species